GAUGAACGCUGGCGGCGUGCCUAAUACAUGCAAGUCGAGCGAACGGACGAGAAGCUUGCUUCUCUGAUGUUAGCGGCGGACGGGUGAGUAACACGUGGAUAACCUACCUAUAAGACUGGGAUAACUUCGGGAAACCGGAGCUAAUACCGGAUGAUAUUUUGAACCGCAUGGUUCAAAAGUGAAAGACGGUCUUGCUGUCACUUAUAGAUGGAUCCGCGCUGCAUUAGCUAGUUGGUAAGGUAACGGCUUACCAAGGCAACGAUGCAUAGCCGACCUGAGAGUGUGAGCGGCCACACUGGAACUGAGACACGGACCAGACUCCUACGGGUGGCAGCGGUAGGAAUUCGUCCGCAAGGGGCGAAAGCCUGACGGAGCAACGCCGCGUGAGUGAUGAAGAUCUUCGGAUCGUAAAACUCUGUUAUUAGGGAAGAACAUAUGUGUAAGUAACUGUGCACAUCUUGACGGUACCUAAUCAGAAAGCCACGGCUAACUACGUG
rnacentral:rRNA from 1 species